UCACACACAACAAAGGCUAAA
ensembl:piRNA 21ur-266 ncRNA